CCUACGGGAGACAGCAGUGGGGGAUAUUGCACAAUGGGGGAAACCCUGAUGCAGCGACGCCGCGUGGGCGAAGAAGUAUUUCGGUAUGUAAAGCCCUAUCAGCAGGGAAGAAGAAAUGACGGUACCUGAGUAAGAAGCACCGGCUAAAUACGUGCCAGCAGCCGCGGUAAUACGUAUGGUGCAAGCGUUAUCCGGAUUUACUGGGUGGAAAGGGAGCGCAGGCGGCACGGCAAGCCUGAUGUGAAAGCCCGCGGCCCAACCGCGGGACUGCUUUGGGAACUACCGGGCUGGAGUGCCGGAGAGGUAGGCGGAAUUCCUAGUGUAGCGGUGAAAUGCGUAGAUAUUAGGAGGAACACCAGUGGCGAAGGCGGCCUACUGGACGGUGACUGACGCUGAGGCUCGAAAGCGUGGGGAGCAAACAGGAUUAGAUACCCGAGUAGUC
rnacentral:rRNA from 1 species